CCUACGGGAGGCAGCAGUGAGGAAUAUUGGUCAAUGGACGCAAGUCUGAACCAGCCAUGCCGCGUGCAGGAAGACGGCCCUAUGAGUUGUAAACUGCUUUUGUACGAGGGUAAACGCAGAUACGCGUAUCUGUCUUUAAGUAUCUUACGAAUAAGGAUCGGCUAACUCCGUGCCAGCAGCCGCGGUAAUACGGAGGAUUCAAGCGUUAUCCGGAUUUAUUGGGUUUAAAGGGUGCGUAGGUGGUCGGAUAAGUAAGAGGUGAAAUCCCGAGGCUCAACCUCGGAAUUGCAGUUGAUACUGUCAGGCUAGAGGGUAGUAGCGGUGGGCGGAAUGUGUGGGGUAGCGGUGAAAUGCUUAGAGAUCAUGCAGAACACCGAUUGCGAAGGCAGCUUACCGGGCUACUACUGACGUUGAGGCACGAAAGCGUGGGGAUCAAACAGGAUUAGAUACCCCAGUAGUC
rnacentral:rRNA from 1 species